GCGCUGCAUUAGCUAGUUGGUAAGGUAACGGCUUACCAAGGCAACGAUGCAUAGCCGACCUGAGAGGGUGAUCGGCCACACUGGAACUGAGACACGGUCCAGACUCCUACGGGAGGCAGCAGUAGGGAAUCUUCCGCAAUGGGCGAAAGCCUGACGGAGCAACGCCGCGUGAGUGAUGAAGGUCUUCGGAUCGUAAAACUCUGUUAUUAGGGAAGAACAUAUGUGUAAGUAACUGUGCACAUCUUGACGGUACCUAAUCAGAAAGCCACGGCUAACUACGUGCCAGCAGCCGCGGUAAUACGUAGGUGGCAAGCGUUAUCCGGAAUUAUUGGGCGUAAAGCGCGCGUAGGCGGUUUUUUAAGUCUGAUGUGAAAGCCCACGGCUCAACCGUGGAGGGUCAUUGGAAACUGGAAAACUUGAGUGCAGAAGAGGAAAGUGGAAUUCCAUGUGUAGCGGUGAAAUGCGCAGAGAUAUGGAGGAACACCAGUGGCGAAGGCGACUUUCUGGUCUGUAACUGACGCUGAUGUGCGAAAGCGUGGGGAUCAAACAGGAUUAGAUACCCUGGUAGUCCACGCCGUAAACGAUGAGUGCUAAGUGUUAGGGGGUUUCCGCCCCUUAGUGCUGCAGCUAACGCAUUAAGCACUCCGCCUGGGGAGUACGACCGCAAGGUUGAAACUCAAAGGAA
rnacentral:rRNA from 1 species